rnacentral:misc_RNA from 1 species
UAAAAUAUUAGCCAUCUCCAAUAUUAUUGUUGUACACAGAUAUGUCUUGUUUUGUGUUUACAGCUGUCUUACUCUUGUUUUCUAUCACCCUAAUUAACGGAAAUUUCCCGGUGCCUGCUGUCUAUCCUGAGUUUUGUAAUUCCACGGAAUAUUUUGAUUCAAUUUGCAUUCGGUGCAAAAAAUGUGGGAAAGAUGAUAGUCAAGUAUCUUUACAAACAAGAGCGCGUGAGGGCUACUGCACGUGCAGAUCUCAGUUUUAUGUGAAAAAUAAAAGGAAUUCAGUCGAUUUAAAUUGUUCUUCGUGUCCACCUCAAACUGUUCCAGCUAAGAAUAAAAAUAGAUGUUUAAAAUGCAUGGAAAGUAAUCCUUUUAAUGAAACGACUGGACAUUGUGAGCCUUGCAUGAAUGGCACUUUUGUGGAAACAGACGAAUAUAUGUUGUGCAUAUCUUGUGAAAAUUCACCAUUGGGUAUCAAAGAUUCUGAUGAAUCCAUUGAUAUUUGUUCUAGCCAGCUAUCAAUAACACCAAAGCUAUGCAGUGAAUCCAAUCUGAUUUUUUCUGGUGGUUAUUGCAUUCCUUCCUUAAGCAACGAGCCAUCUUUAUUUAGUAUUAAAUAUGAGAUAGGAGAAAGUGUGAAAUCAGCUUUAUUCAAAGAGCACCUUAAUUCUGCCCUCUACUUAUGCAAAGAAAAUGAAGACUUUGCCUGCCAAAUGCUAGCUAAUUUUUGUGUUCUGCUUCUUUACAAACUAAGUAUUGAAAAUAAUGCUUGUUUAGAAUUCAGGAAAAUUGCCAGAAAACGCUUAGAUGAAUGUCCCAGUAAACAAUUAUGGCUAUAUUAUUUUGACGAGGAAGCCAGGUGGAAUGCAACAAAAGACUUGUAUCAAAAUAAUGUACCAAAUAUGUUUUCUCCCUCCUUAAAUCUUGAAGAGUCCAAACUUCAAAUUGUAGCAAAACAAUUUGCCUUAAAUGGAUCUUUCAUUGGAAUAAAAAAGCUAAAAAGUGAUGAUCUCCAUCUUUGUCAAGAAUCUGAUCUUGAAGAUGAUAUAGCAUUGACUGUGGGUACACAGUUGAAAAGAGCUUGUACAAGAUCCUUGCAGUCUUUAUGGUUAUCUUCGCAUCUUCAGUUUUAUGAUUUAUAUCUUGUUAGUAAAAUCAAUCAAAGUGAAUGGUGGUAUCCCAUUCCUGUUCUCAUACGAGGAAUUCUUGUGAAUGGAGAAUUUGUAAAUAUUGACAAAGACCCAUCGAAGUGGCUUCUUGUGCGCCGAUAUUUUCUCACAGACCACAUAAGCGGCAUUGAAGAGGGUCUGGAGAGCAAUCAACCCCCCACCACUAAGGUCUUCAGAUAUGCUGCGGACGUUUCUCUCAGAGUGAUAUUUAAACCCCAUGGAAAUCCUGGCACCAUAUAUCCUCCAUUGCUCACAAUUGCAUAUGCUGAAGCUACUCCAGAUGAUUUUAAGAAAAAUAAAAAAGUUACAGUUAAAUUUUCUGUAUCCUAUGAAAUGGAUCAGUCUUCUGUGAUGAAAAGCAUUGUGAUAUCUAUGUCUAUUUUUGGAGUAUUAUCGUUUGCUUGGUCUGUUUUACAAACCUUUAGUUGGUAUAGGCGGUCUGGGAAGAAUGCUAUCGACUUAGUGACUUUAGGAAAAUUUACCAUAUUUAUGUGUGGCAACCUCUCUACGUCUUUCUUUUGUGUCAUAUUUCUUCACUGCUUCUAUUGGUUAACUUUUUUUAAGAAACAAGAUGUUUUACAUUCUCUGCUGCCAAUUCCAUCCCAAGAAAAGUUUUUAAGUGUUUAUAUUGGAUUAGCUCUUACAAUGAAAGCGAUCCAAGUCAUCCACCUACUCUUCGUGCAGUGUAGCAUAAAUAUCUUCUUCGUCGACUGGGAACGUCCGAGAGUGCGCUCGUCUUGCGUGAGCGUACGCUCGGCGACGACGACCAAGGGGGUGGCCGAGACAAACGUGAGUUCGGAGAAUAUUAAGGGGUGUUUGCCCAAAACCACACCUGACAAAAUGCAUACCGAUAUGGCUGGUAUCAGUAUAUGGAGAACUUAUUAUGUGGCCAACGAAUGGACCGAAAUACAAAGUAAAAGAAAAAUCAACUUGUGUGCUCAACUUUUUGGAGUUUUAUUCUUUCUCAAAGUUCUUGACUUUGAAAGUUAUGCCUUAGCUAGCUUAAAAUUCAAUUUGCCUCCUUCUGAAGUUCAUAAAUAUGUGCCUUACAGUGCUUGCAGUCGACUAGCCCUCGGUGCUUCUGUUUUCCUGAGCUUAGCUCUUCUACAAGUUGUUUUUAGAAAAGGAAUUUAUGAGCGUUUUGUGGAAGAUAAAUUGCAACAAUACGUUGAUUUGUGCUCUGUUAGCAAUGUAAGUGUUUUUUUGUUGUUGACCAAAAAAUUUGGUUAUUACAUUCAUGGGAGAUCUACACAUGGUAAGGCAGAUGUAAAUAUGAAAGAAAUGCAUGAGUUCCUUAGAAAAGAAGAAGAAGACCUGUGUGGCUAUCGUGGAUUACUACCAGAUACUCAACAGCAGACAUUUCAGUUUGUUUUGCCUCCUGGUGUUCAUGAUCAGUUCAUCAGGCUCUUACUUCCCCUUACAUCCUAUAGCCAGGCUGCUGACCGUAUGCAAGGAGUGGGCGGACGUUUGGCUAAAGUUGAUAUCUCCAGAGUUGCCAAUACUCACUAUAUGCUCAAUAAAUUUCUCUCUGCCUUUAUUGAUCAUUUUUAAUAAUGCAACGAGGCUAUAAGAAGAAGAAACAAGAAAUCCCCAGAAGACUUCACGACUGGCGUAAAAAUCAUUUAAAGAUAUAGAUUAUGUUGUCAAGGACAGAGUAUUGCUGGAAUAUCUGUUUGAUAUUGAAUGUUUUGAAGUGGCAGACAGAGGAUAUUUUUACAAUG